rnacentral:tRNA from 1 species
GUCUCUGUAGUAUAUCAAUUAUACUGGUCUUGUAAACCAGAGAAGAGGAAAAACAAGUCCUCCAGAGACU